UGGGGAAUCUUGGACAAUGGGGGGCAACCCUGAUCCAGCCAUGCCGCGUGAGUGAUGAAGGCCUUAGGGUCGUAAAGCUCUUUCGCCUGUGAAGAUAAUGACGGUAGCAGGUAAAGAAACCCCGGCUAACUCCGUGCCAGCAGCCGCGGUAAUACGGAGGGGGUUAGCGUUGUUCGGAAUUACUGGGCGUAAAGCGCACGUAGGCGGACCAGAAAGUUGGGGGUGAAAUCCCGGGGGCUCAACCCCGGAACUGCCUCCAAAACUAUUGGUCUAGAGUUCGAGAGAGGUGAGUGGAAUUCCAAGUGUAGAGGUGAAAUUCGUAGAUAUUUGGAGGAACACCAGUGGCGAAGGCGGCUCACUGGCUCGAUACUGACGCUGAGGUGCGAAAAGUGUGGGGGAGCAAAACAGGAUUAGAUACCCCUGGUAGUCCACACCGUAAAACGAUGAAUGCCAGUCGUCGGGUAGCAUGCUAUUCGGUGACACACCUAACGGAUUAAGCAUUCCGCCUGGGGAGUACGGUCGCAAGAUUAAAACUCAAAUGAAUUG
rnacentral:rRNA from 1 species